UACGAAGGGGGCUAGCGUUGUUCGGAAUUACUGGGCGUAAAGGGCGCGUAGGCGGCUUCGAUAGUCGGGUGUGAAAUGCCUGGGCUCAACCCAGGAACUGCACUCGAAACUCCGAGGCUAGAGUGUGGGAGAGGAUAGUGGAAUUCCCAGUGUAGAGGUGAAAUUCGUAGAUAUUGGGAAGAACACCGGUGGCGAAGGCGGGUCUCUGGGCAGUAACUGACGCUGAGGAGCGAAAGCGUGGGGAGCGAACAGG
rnacentral:rRNA from 1 species